CGCGAUGAUGACAUCCCGCUGACACGGCUCCGCCACCUCCCCCGCACAAUGCAAAUGAGCUUUCAUCAGCGAGUGACAGGAUAAAACAGGUGUGCUCAGACAGGGAGACACCAGCAGCUCUGUGCCAGCAGAGAGUUUACACAGGUGAACAGGAGGAGACGCAUUCCAGCUCAGCAGCUUCAGCAUGAACUCCAGCGCUAUUCUGGUGAGUACGAGCCGUCACCUGGAGAACAGGUGUGCAGAUGCUUUGUACGCUCUGGCUUCACCUCACAGUGACAGCCUGGAAACAGCUUUGGACUGCACAGCUCAUUACUACACAAACCUGUGUGAUGUGUGUGUACAGAGCAAAGCGUUUUCAUCGAGCUUCUUUUGGAGGGACGUUGGAGACAGAUCAGUCAAAGCCUCUGAUCGGUGUCAUUGUGUCAAAAUGUGUGCUUGUCUUCCAGCUCUUCCUGGGACUGAUGGGGACAGCGUUCAGCAGCCCGGUUUGUCCUCAAAACUGCAACCAUGCUCAGCACUAUCACAGGCAGUACUUCACUCAUGUGUCCGACCUCCAUAAUUCUUCAGUCGCGCCCUGGAAACUACAAAACAACUCUAAAGCAGGCCGAGAACCACAGACGAUCAAGGAGGCCAAAUGCAUGCCUUGCAGUGUGGAGAACAUGGUGGCCAGACCAAUCUUCGUACAGAUUCAGGUGUACGAGAGCAUAGGCACGCAUGGGUAUUGCAGCUGUCCGUUCGAUCUGGCGGUCGGAUGCACCUGUGUCGCGAAGGAAUGACGGCCGGACGCCAGGCUGUGCUGAAUGUGCCGUAACAACCUGCUUUUAGUUGCUGGCUGUGCCUAUAUUGAAUGUAUUUAUUUGUAACUAGGAAAUACUGUUUAUCAGGUUAUAUAUGAGUGUGCAUGUAAAAUGCGACCAAGUCAUCGUUUUUUAAACUUACCUAUAUGUCAAUGACAUGUUUGUUUACAUGAGAUAAAACUUCAUGAAUUUUGUGGCAGUGUUGCUCGUUUCAAAGCAACCUGAAUCCUUUUUUCUAGAAAAAUUCAGUGUACUGAUCUGUUCAAUGUGCAUCUGAAUAUCACAUUUUAUUCUUUACAUGCAUCAUGUAAUAUGCAGUAACUUGAUAAUAUCAUAGUCAUUUCAGAAUAUUUCUGGUCAGUACCAAUGUGAAAAUGUUUGUUUUGUAUUAUCAAAAUGCUGGAUUUUUAUGUACCUCA
ensembl:lncRNA